GUCGGGUCAAAUGGAGCGUGCGCCUGUAGUCCCAGCUACUCCAGAGGCUGAGGUGGGAGGAUCGCUUGAGUCCACGAGUUCUGGGCUGUAGUGCGCUAUGCUGAUCGGGUGUCCGCACUAAGUUUGGCAUCAAUAUGGUGACCUCCCGGGAGCGGGGGAUCACCAGGUUGCCUAAGGAGGGGUGAACCAGCCCAGGUCGGAAACGGGGCAGGUCAAAACUCCCAUGUUAUUUUUUGUUUUGGCAUUGCACUUUUAGAAAAUUUUAAAAAUUGAAAAUGUAAAAAAAGUUUUAAAACAUGUCA
rnacentral:SRP_RNA from 1 species